UAUAUAUGAUGACUAAAUACCUAUACCAUCUUUCGACUGAGAACCAUGAUGGCAAUUUUUUACUGAAACAAAUU
rnacentral:snoRNA from 1 species